rnacentral:rRNA from 1 species
ACGGGAGGCAGCAGUGAGGAAUAUUGGUCAAUGGGCGGAAGCCUGAACCAGCCAAGUCGCGUGAAGGAUGAAGGUAUUAUGUAUUGUAAACUUCUUAGACGUAGAGAAAUAAGCCCCUCGUGAGGGGUGAUGCUAGUAUACGUAGAAUAAGGAUCGGCUAACUCCGUGCCAGCAGCCGCGGUAAUACGGAGGAUCCGAGCGUUAUCCGGAUUUAUUGGGUUUAAAGGGUGCGCAGGCGGCUUUUUAAGUCAGUGGUUAAAUCGUGAGGCUCAACCUCAUCACGCCAUUGAUACUGGAGAGCUUGAUUGCGGUUGAGGUUGGCGGAAUUCGCCGUGUAGCGGUGAAAUGCAUAGAUAUGGCGAAGAACUCCGAUUGCGUAGGCAGCUGACCAAGCCGUAAAUGACGCUGAUGCUCGAAAGCGUGGGUAUCGAACAGGAUUAGAUACCCUGGUA